AUAUGAGUUUGAUCCUGGCUCAGAAUGAACGCUGGCGGCGUGCUUAACACAUGCAAGUCGAGCGGAAAGGCCACUUCGGUGGUACUCGAGCGGCGAACGGGUGAGUAACACGUGAGUAAUCUGCCUCUGGCUUCGGGAUAGCCACCGGAAACGGUGAUUAAUACCGGAUAUGACAUCUUCACGCAUGUGAUGGGUGUGGAAAGUUUUUUCGGCCAGGGAUGUGCUCGCGGCCUAUCAGCUUGUUGGUGGGGUAAUGGCCUACCAAGGCUUCGACGGGUAGCCGGCCUGAGAGGGUGACCGGCCACACUGGGACUGAGACACGGCCCAGACUCCUAC
rnacentral:rRNA from 1 species